AGAGUUUGAUCCUGGCUCAGGAUGAACGCUGGCGGUAUGCUUAACACAUGCAAGUCGAACGGUGUCUUCGGACACAGUGGCGGACGGGUGAGUAACGCGUGAGAAUCUGGCUUUAGGUCUGGGACAACCACUGGAAACGGUGGCUAAUACCGGAUGUGCCGAGAGGUGAAAGGUUAACUGCCUGAAGAUGAGCUCGCGUCUGAUUAGCUAGUUGGAAGUGUAAUGGACUCCCAAGGCGACGAUCAGUAGCUGGUCUGAGAGGACGAUCAGCCACACUGGGACUGAGACACGGCCCAGACUCCUACGGGAGGCAGCAGUGGGGAAUUUUCCGCAAUGGGCGAAAGCCUGACGGAGCAAUACCGCGUGAGGGAGGAAGGCUCUUGGGUCGUAAACCUCUUUUCUCAGGGAAGAACAAAAUGACGGUACCUGAGGAAUAAGCAUCGGCUAACUCCGUGCCAGCAGCCGCGGUAAUACGGAGGAUGCAAGCGUUAUCCGGAAUGAUUGGGCGUAAAGCGUCCGCAGGUGGCUAUGUAAGUCUGCUGUUAAAGAAUCUAGCUUAACUAGAUAAGAGCAGUGGAAACUACAAGGCUAGAGUACGUUCGGGGCAGAGGGAAUUCCUGGUGUAGCGGUGAAAUGCGUAGAGAUCAGGAAGAACACCGGUGGCGAAGGCGCUCUGCUAGGCCGUAACUGACACUGAGGGACGAAAGCUAGGGGAGCGAAUGGGAUUAGAUACCCCAGUAGUCC
rnacentral:rRNA from 1 species